rnacentral:tRNA from 1 species
AUUUAUGUAGUUUAAAUAAAACAUUAUAUUUUCAAUAUAAAAAUAAACAAAUUUUAUAAAUA